AUUGAACGCUGGCGGCAGGCCUAACACAUGCAAGUCGAGCGAGCGGCGGACGGGUGAGUAAUGUAUGGGGACUGCCCGAUAGAGGGGGAUAACUACUGGAAACGGUAGCUAAUACCGCAUACUAUCGGAUAACCCAUAUGGGAUUAGCUAGUAGGUGAGGUAAUGGCUCACCUAGGCGACGAUCCCUAGCUGGUCUGAGAGGAGGAUCAGCAAGACUAGGAAGGUGAGACGGCCCAGACUGCUACGGAGGCAGAAGUGGGGAAUAUUGCAAAAUGGGCGCAAGCCUGAUGCAGCCAUGCCGCGUGUAUGAAGAAGGCCUUCGGGUUGUAAAGUACUGUCAGUCGGGAGGCGUUACCGACAGAAGAAGCACCGGCUAACUCCGUGCCAGCAGCCGCGGUAAUAC
rnacentral:rRNA from 1 species